AUAAAGCAUUAUAUAGUUAUCAUAGUUGCUUGUUAGCAUUCUAUUACCGUUUGCAUUUGAGAUAAUUGUUUUCGUCUUGAUGAUAGAUAUUCGCUAAGAUGUUUCCAUAAACUUGGCCCACGCUUUUUUGGGUGAAGUAAAUAAUUUUUCAGUCCUUUUGAGGGCCUCUGCUGCCUAUCUUUACUGCCCCUAUUUGCAAGUUUCUAGAAUGGAAGUGUAAGUCAAACGAUAAGAAAAAUUAUAUAUUAAUAGAUAGCAAUUUAAAUUUAGCAUUUUCAUUCUUAGUGUUCGUUCACUCCACUUUCCAGAUCAAUCUCAGACCAUCAAGUAUGAUGAUGAAAGCGAGUGUUCCAUUUAGGCGGUUCUCGCAACUCUUAAUGUUUGAUACUUAGAGCUGUUUGUGCUUCAGAAAAUUAUUCAAAAAAUUUCAUGCUUGCAUUUGAUUCUUUUCUGGAUAACAGCUAAUCCUGUUUUUUGUAUUUUGUCCUUUGGUUUUUUGAUACCGCAUUGCUAGUCACAUGUACCCUCAUAAAAAAUACAGUUAUAUCUAAGCGAGAAACAAUCGCUCGAUUGCGAGGCUCAUCUAUGGAACUGUUUAUACUUGUGUCUCAUGUUCCAAUAGCUUGAAAGUGUGUUUAAGCAUGAGAUUGUUAUUUAAAUUAUCAAUUCAUAUAGUAACAAUAUCUGCUUUGGUGCCAAACAUUUGAAUUCCUUACGAACUAAUAAUAAGAUUGCUUCUCAGAUUUCUCAGUGGAAUACUUCCAUUAGUAACUGCACCAUGGGAGUUUGAAAGCUGCUGUCUUUCCUUAAAUUACAAUAGUCCGUGUAGAAGAUGAGUUUUUGGUUCGUUCAAUAUGUGACUACUUGUUCACCUAUCUUUCGCUUCGGCUCGUACUCUACUUUUCAACGCCUGCUACUUGGCUGAACCUCUUAGUAAGUAACGGAUGUAGAACGGUUCUUACCAAAGCCAACGUCUCUCUAAUCGACAUUUAU